CCGUAGGUGAACCAGCGGAGGGAUCAUUACAGAGUUAUCCAACUCCCAAACCCAUGUGAACAUAUCUCUUUGUUGCCUCGGCGCAAGCUACCCGGGACCUCGCGCCCCGGGCGGCCCGCCGGCGGACAAACCAAACUCUGUUAUCUUCGUUGAUUAUCUGAGUGUCUUAUUUAAUAAGUCAAAACUUUCAACAACGGAUCUCUUGGUUCUGGCAUCGAUGAAGAACGCAGCGAAAUGCGAUAAGUAAUGUGAAUUGCAGAAUUCAGUGAAUCAUCGAAUCUUUGAACGCACAUUGCGCCCAUUAGUAUUCUAGUGGGCAUGCCUGUUCGAGCGUCAUUUCAACCCCUAAGCACAGCUUAUUGUUGGGCGUCUACGUCUGUAGUGCCUCAAAGACAUUGGCGGAGCGGCAGCAGUCCUCUGAGCGUAGUAAUUCUUUAUCUCGCUUCUGUUAGGCGCUGCCCCCCCGGCCGUAAAACCCCCAAUUUUUUCUGGUUGACCUCGGAUCAGGUAGGAAUACCCGCUGAACUUAAGCAUAUCAAUAAGCGGAGGAAAAGAAACCAACAGGGAUUCCCCUAGUAAC
rnacentral:rRNA from 2 species